rnacentral:tRNA from 1 species
GGUCCCGUAGUUCAAUGGAUAGAAUAUCAGAUUCCGGUUCUGACGGUACAGGUUCGAUUCCUGUCGGGAUCA